ACAUUACUUCCAACAUGGUUUACUAACGUUUAUUCAAUAUAAGUAGAGCUUCUUUUCAUUCAGCAAGCUGGUAAGAAAAUAUAUGGAAGCCCCAAGAAAAGGCUUUUGGUAAAAUGAUAGCUAUAUUUAGAAGCAUGCUAAUUUUUUCAAACUGAGCUUUCUUAGUAGGAAAAAUCCCUAAUCCUAAGAUGCAUUUUCCAGACAGAGAGAAGUGAGAUGUAAUUUCAUUUUGUCUGGCUUUGCAUUUGCGUUCACAAGAACAUUGCCACGCAAAUCAAACCACUGUGGCCUCUAUGUCCCAGCAAGUUCAAAGAUGCGAAUAAAACUGUCUCAUUCCUGUUCUCUCAUUUAUUUUUAUUGGUAACAAAGUGUCAGUCACUGGUAACACUCCUGUAGUUUGUUGCAGCAUUUAGAGGCACAGAUUAAGAGGAUUGCUCAUCUAUAGUAUCUCCAAGAUCUUAAUCACCUGUCCUGGAGCCAAGAGAGACCGUGAACAUGAGGACACAGUGUUCUGUUUUCUCCUCAGAGCAGGGCAGAUGACAUCUGUGUUGUGUAGGUAAACUUGGCCUGGGGUGCAUUAGUUUGGGGGCUGUGGGACCAUGGAUAGUGGUCUCCUGUGAGAUUUACAGUUCUAUUCAUUCACUCCUUCAUUCAGCCAUCAUAUGUUCAGCACAUCACCAUGUGCCAAGCAGAGAGCUAGGCCAGUAUAACAGAACUGGGUACCUAGCCUCAUGAUUUACAUCAUGGAACCAUAGAAUGUUAAAGUGUAAAGGACCUAAAAAUGGUCAAAAUCUAACAUCACAGAUAAAGGGCUUGCUAAAGACAGCAUGAGUUACAAACCAAUCAACCCUGAAUCUCCAGACUCCCAGGAAAUUGCUCUUUCCAUUAUAUUCCACUGCCUCUACUAACAGGUGCCAGUACCUCUCCUCUCUUUCCUGCUAAAUGAUGAAAGGCACUGUUUUCAAGAGAGAAUUUGAUGGAUGAAGUACUGUGGGAGGAUGAGGAAUAGAUCAGAGAACCCAAUGCUUGGGUGGAGUGGCAAAAUUCCACAAUCCUCUCUGAAAAUAAUCCAGUAGAAAAGAGAUUCAAAACUCAAAACUCAGCUUUCAGAAAAUACCUGCCAGUGGGAACCUUGAAGGAAGAAGAACAGAAACGGUGCAAACCCAUUGCAAUUUAACCUAGAAUUUCUGCUUUCUUUACUAUGAUUCUACGGUCACUCUCUUUAAAGAAAUAAAGCAGAAAAAAAAAAAAAAAGCAGCCAACAGGUGACAAAUAAAGGCUCAGACAUUUGCCCUAUUUAUAAGCCUUUGGAAAGUCCUGAAAAUGCCAGCCAGUUUCUAACAUCCUCUUCUGAAAGAUGGAAGAAUAGAAAAUGAGAUUCAAGGACUUUACAAGCUUGAUUUCCUCUCUAGAAUCAAUUCUUUUGCAAGAAGCAAAUCCCCUCAUGUUUGCGGCAUUUGAACUAAGACUUUAUUUCACCCCAUCUUUAUCUAGUAUCUAAAUGUCAGAAUGUAUUGUUCCUACAACUGAAGAACAUGUCGCUUAAUGAGUUCAUAACAGAAGAUUGCUAUUCUCUCCGGCCGAAGUACCAUAAACCCACUGAUGGGUUUCAGAGACUUGAGUGCCAGAACUGGUCAUCGUUUUCCAGUGGUUUACCCACGGUGAGCCUUACCUGAGUUAACUUUUGUGCCUAAAUCGUAGGCAAAAUUGGCCAGAUGAACAACAUAAACUUGCUAAAGAUCAAGUUGUGUGAUAGUUCUAGGGAUGAUUUCACAGCCCUACAAAGGAAACAGUCCCUGGCCUUGGAGAACAGGUUUCUGAUAAAGAGAAAGAAUUCUGGACUGAGAAUCAGAAGUUCUCGGGGGAAGGCCCGCUUGGUGAUAGAUUACAUGUCUUUUCAUCUCUCAUUCUUUUUCUCAGCCGUAAGAUGAGGAGCUAGGUGAAAUUCUUUGACUUAUUCACUGCUCCACUUUCGCACAUGAAACUGUGCCUGGCACAUAAAAGCUCUCAAUAAAUAUAUGUUGAAUAUAUGAAUAAAUCUCCAAGAGGCAUUCCAUCAAGGUGGUUAAAAGGAUGGCUUCUAGAAUUAGAAAGUCUUGCUUUGAGUACUGGUGCUGUAGGUCACUAGAAAUGUGGUCUUGAGUAAGAUAUUGGACCUCACCAAUCCUCAUUUUCCUUCUCUGGGAAGUUGAGAUAAGAAUGAUCAUAUCAUGAUUGUAUUCAUAAUAGUUGCUAUGAUGAAUAUUAUAUUUAAAAAAAUUAACUUCAUGUAAAUGCCAACGUUUAUUGGUUACCAUUAUUCUCUGCUGUGGGGUGGAGAAAGCAUGAACUUGAGCUCCCAGAGGAAACCUCGUGUGAUUGGCGCCCCUUAAGCAUGAAUAAUCGCUGCCCUAUGAUGAAAAGGACGGUUUCCUCUUGAAGCCUGAAGACCUGUUGUGAUUGCAGCCUCUGUCUUCUUUUCUUCCUGGACAGGGGACUUCUCGGUCAGGAUGGACAAACACCUCUUGUUGCUCCUAUCUGUCUUCUGCUGCACUGUGGCGGCACCCCUGAAAUGUGUAACGUGCCACCUCCGCACGGAGAUGGAUCGCUGUAGAAGAGGCUUUGGAAUCUGUGUUGCCAAGAAGUAUGAGACCUGCUUGCUCUUAAAGAUCCUCCAGGGUAAGUUGGAGGAUCAGGGGAGGCGCUGUGAGAUUCCUAGAAAGUUCUUGGGAGAGUACUUCAACAGUUUUCUACCCCAGACUAAGGCCAGUGCAAGAAAGGAAGCCAAGUGCCGGGUGUCCCUGGGCAUCAGCAGAAGGGGACUUGGGAAGAUGAGACAGGAGGAAGAAGCAUCUGUACGGAGAGCUGGAGGGUGCCAGGGAGCUUAACCGCGUAACGCCUGCAGGGGACCCGUGAUUUCUACGUCUCCCUGCUUGGGUCCUCUUGGGAAGUAUAAGACAGGAGGCCAUCUCUAAACCUAUCCUGAUACCUAAUUAAAUUUUUACCUACAGGACUAGUGCCAGGUUUGACUUGCCUUUAGAAAACUUAGAUCACUGGCUUAUUUUCUCUCUUUCUUUGUGUGUGUGCGGGGUUGGUGGGGGGAACGAGGUUUAUUUGUUAUUAGAGGAGGUACUGGGGAUUGAACCCAGGACCUCAUGCAUGCUAAGCAAGCGCUCUGCCACUUGAGUUAUACCCUCCCCCCAUCACUGGCUUAUUUUCUGCGAUGCCUUCUCAUUACAGAUGACAUUUUCCAGUUAGCAUACAUGGUGUGUCAGAAAUUCUGCAGAGACUUGACAUACAGGAUCAACAGUCGAACUUAUAUUCAUAAGUGCUGCAACCACAAU